UUUGCUUGAUUUCUGGGCCAUACAGUUUUGGGAGGAAAAAAAACCUUGCUAUUAAUUCACAGGCCAUUUCUCAGAAAAAAAAUCCAUAUUGCUGCUGGUUUUAUUUGAUGUAUUUUUUUAUAGGUCAUGAGAAGUUGUGCCAUUUUCAGUGCGUGUCACACCCAGUGUUGUCUGUUAUCUUGUCUGAAGCAGAUGAUGCAGUUUGGUGCCUUUUCCUGUGUAUGGCUAAGAUUAGGGCAUGACUGUGAGCAAGGCAGCAGAAAUGUGUCUAGGUAAGACCACAUGAUUGUGACACUUAAAAGGGAUGAGUGUUGCAGUGGGGUGAAUGUGGGCCUCUGGGAGUUUUUUUCCCCUACUGGCAACCUGUGCUCCUAAAUCAGGAGUGGCUUUAGAAAGCUGUGGAGCUGAUGCAUCUUAUUCCAUGGAGGCAGAGUCCUGUACAUAUCAUGGCAUCAUAUGCAACAUCUUCAGUUGUUUCCAAGGAGCACCCUAGAAAGUGAUCCCAGUGCCCCACUGUUUUCCUAUUUCUUUUAAGAGCCAUUAAGGCAUUGCUUUUACUUCUAGAGCACCCAUACUUGGGGUACUCCUGGGCAAAACAUCAGUCUCAAAUCUAUAUUGCAGCCUUCUUGUAAUUAUUCUGCUGCAACUCAGGAUUCCUUGUCCCCUGGUCUACUUAAAAGGGUCUCGUCUGAAUGUAAACAUCACCCAGCGUUGCUCAUAACACAGCAUGUGAACCUGGGCAAAAACUCUUCCCCAGCUCUUUAUGGAUAUACAUUGUCAGUUCAAAACCUCAAGCAUCUGCUUUCAUGGAUUUGGAGUGGAGCAUUCAGUGGGGCAGAAGCUCAAACUUUGGUCUCCUCCAUUUCCCUGGCAUGUAAACCUCUCCUCCUCUCCAGGAAGAGCCUGUAGGCUAUAAUCAGAGCUCACCAUUAUUAUUAGUUUGGCAGUCAGAAGAUAUGGGACCUUCCUGGGUUUGUGUUUUCAAGAAAAGAGGUUCUAGGGAAGUGAGUCAGAAGGCAAGAUACAGAGAAAGUACCACGUGUUCUACCUCUGGCAAAAGGAAGGAGAACUUUUUACUGACACAAGCUGAAUAAACUAAGCUACCUUGCCUCUUGGCACUUGGAAAUGGUAAACGGAGAAUGUACCCAUAAAAAGUAGCACUCAACAUCUCACUGUGGUAUGAAGAACUCCACUGAUCCACAGCUGUCUGUGACUUGGAACACCUUGUAUGCAGCAUGCCUCUCCCACUGCCUCAUCACAGCUGAGUAAAACAGCAGAAACAAGCCCGGUGCUGCCUGACCAAGUUACAAAAUUGUUAAAAAGCCACGUGUGUUACACAGAGCAUUUUAGUUGAUAGAACAGUACCUAAACGACUGCAAAGCUAACACUAUGUAUGAAGUUUGAACUGAAAUAUCAAGAGUGUUUUUUCUCUUGAAAGUGGACUACAUAAAAGAACAACAUGAAGGUAUAAUGGUGUAUGGGCGCUGCUGUCGUCAUGACCAGCUGGACUCUGUCUCUCAAGGACUAAUCUCUCUUGGGUUAGGUUCUCCGUGGACUUUGGCAUGUGAGUGUACUAGGAGUUGUCUACUAUGUGUAAAGUUCUAGCAGCUGUUGGCUUUUCCACUUUGCUUGUUAAAAGAUUAUUAGCCUCUUCCUGUUCUGUCCUCUGUAUUCACACUCGUUGGAGUGCACAUUCCUCAUGUAACAAGCUUCCUAUAAUCAUCUAAAAGCCACCUGAGAAAGGUCCUGGAAUGAUCUGGAAGCAGGUGCUGGAAUCAAGCUUACAUUGCUGAUAACCUGCCUCUCUAACUCUGUCAUAAGUUGUUUUACUAGCCAUUGAUCUGCAAAGAAUCCUUCCAUUGUCAACAAACUCUACAUCCUCCAGUGAACUUUCAAACUUACCUAAAUCCAAGAUGGAGGUGUAAUACUCAGGCAGUCUGGAAAUUGAGGGGAAACAACAUCCUUCUGAUCCCUGCCCAGGAGAUGUUUCCAACAUGAGCUUCAGAAAGUGAUCAAAGCAUUUUCCUUGAGACAUCAAAUAAAGAAGCAAAUGAGAUGGCUUCAGUGGGAUACCUAUCUCCCAGAUUAUCCUGGCACUGAUGAAAUCUGUUCUGCCUUUUCUAGAGCCACUUCAAAAAGUUUCAAGCUUUCAAGGCUGGAGUUGCUAGAGCAAAGCUUGGAUUAAUGCCUUAGAAAAAACCAUGGAAUAUGCAAAGACAGGAGAGGGCCGGAGCAACUGGAAAACAAACUCAUUAGUUAAUCAGGGAUUCCUUCCAUCCCUCUUCAGCCCUGCACCCAGGGCGUGCACUGGGGAUGCAUGCCCUGAUAUGCCAGCCUGAGAGUGCUGAGAAUUAAGCAGUCUCACAGGUGGCUGGUGUUCAAAGGAAACUGGGGUGUGACGGCCUUCCCAUCCCAGUUUUCAGGAUCUCUGGGCACACAGCUACAACUCUGAAAAUUAUAAAUAUGAAUGAUUUAUAUUUCCUGUAAAAUGGUUCUGUUUUUUUUUUAAAGCAACAACCAACCAAAAAAUCCCAAACCAACCAACAAACAACAACAACAACCUUGGCGAUUCUAUGAUUCUAUGAUUCUAUGAUUCUAUGAUUCUAUGAUAAAAGACAACAAAACCCAACAAAUAGCAAAAAAGUGGAGCAGGCCUGUACUUUCCCCGUACAACACUAAUUAAGAAGAAGUUGGAGAUCAUGUUUGAAUGGACUUUUCUUUUGCUCUGUCCUACUCUCCAUAAGUAGCCUGCCAGAGGAGUAGCCUGGUGAUAAAAUACUUCUGCAGAGGAAGAAUGAGACACAGAUGAGAGCCUGGCUUUCAUGGCAGGAGAUGGGCUGGUGGCUGGGUGGGAUAGAGGCAGGGUCAGUUCAUGAAUUGUCUGUGCUGACAGCCCCAGGGUUAACAGCUGGGACUGUGUGUCUAGCAGAUGAUGGAGUCACUGCUUAGCACUUUGUCCUCCUAUAGCUCAUUGGCAUUGAUACAAAAACAAACAAACAAACAAAAAACAAAAAAACAUGUAAAGCAGCUGUUUAAGAAUAAAAUGAUAUAAACGUGCAGUGUUGGCUUGGCAUCGUGGAUGUCAUCCCUAGCCAGUUCCUCCACAGGUUUUUGCUUGGUAAAUUGCAUCUCCACAUUUGUCUGCUAAUCAGAGGAGGAGGAAAGGAGGAUGAUAGUCACUGUUGUCUCUCAACCAGGUAGUUGUCUGUGUAUUGCUCUGGAGAAGCUUUGGUCAUGCUAUGUGAGGUGAGUGCCAAACCACCUAUUUCUGGCAGUGCUUAUAAAACAGGUUAACAAAAUGGUAAGCCAAGUUUGAGAUGUACCUGAAGAAGAGGCAGGCUGGGAAGGGUUUGCUGGCAUGUAUAGCAUGAGAAGGUGCUUCUUCUGCACUGUUUUAAGGAUCACAUAGUGUUUUCUGGAAGGUUAUAAGCUAGGCAGUCUGGAAAAGCUAAAGGUGCGGUCAGGGAUGGAAGAUACUUUGGCUUCAAGAGAAUCAGAUUAUUAGGAUCCCGUGUUCACUAGGGAAAACCUGGCUACUAGUUCUCCUAGCAGCAUUCAUGCUUUUCAAAAAUAAAUAGUCAAUUUGUUAUAAUUUGGAAGUACUCUUGGAAGUGAGGACUGAGAAUCAUGGCAACUUUCAUUAUUCAAGGAAAUCUCUGUGAUAAGCACUGAAGAGUUAGAGGAGAUAAAUCAGAUUGUGCAUACUACACGUGAAUAAAGCAAGUUUCAUUAAGACUGAUGGCUCUAGCUUCUAUCAUCAGUAUAUCUUGCAAAGCAUUCUCUAGUAAAAAAAAAAAGUCUUAAAAAAUUAAAAGGCUUUGAUUUCUGUUCAGGGUUAUUUGGAGGGCAGGAAGUAGGCUAGAGCAUGUUAGGCUGGACUACAGUAAUGCUUAGUUUCAAUUUUAUGUAAAACUGGUGAUCCACAUGCUUCUUGUCUUCUGCUUCAUUCUUUGUCGCUUAAUUGUUAAACUGAUGAAAGGCAUGUCUGUUCUCAGAAUGCCAAUACUACUGAAAAGGAAAAGUUUAGGAACAGUAAAGUAAAAACAGGCUCGUUGACUUCUGAAAGGAAGACAAGUGCUGAAGACAAAUACUUGUUAAGACGUAUGCAACUUGUUCACUCUAUCUACCCAUGAGUGGGAGAAAAACUGGCAUGGUUCCCACACCAAGUGCUUCUAGUGUUUCAGUUAAAGCUUGAUGUGAUCUGUCAGCUGCAGAAUAUGUUAGCGCUGGCUUUUGCAGAUAUUUAUCCUUUUUUAACACUUUCUGCCUAUGCAUGCAGAUGUCAAAAGGUGUCCUUCCCUCACUGUUUGAAGCUACUUGCUGUAGGAUGGGAAAGAAAGUGCUCUGCCCCUCAUCAGCAUCAAAAGCACAUGGUCACAGCUCAUGGAAAGCAUACCAGGUGGUUUACUUGACUGAUGGAAGCAACUUUUGUGGAAAUAAGAAGCUGGGUGAAAGAGAUACGAUUCCAUGACUGAAGAAGAGACUUUAAUAUGAAAUGAUGCUUUGUUGUGCACCAGAAAAUCAACAUGAAAGGGAGAAUUAUGAAACCUGGCAGUUUGCAGCCAACCCAAUGCACAAAGAAAACCACAUAUAGUUCAAUCCUGGUCCACCUGCUUCUGUUUUCUCCGUGUGGCAUUGUACAACUGCUAUAUACAGAAGCAAAUCUUGGCAGUAUUUGUGAAGUGUCCUAGAAGAAUCAUACGAUUCUGCUUGAUGGUUUCUCCUGACAGAGUAGAACCAGAAAUCAUUUGCCCUUUUCUAAACAGGAAAGGUCAAAAGUGAAUGACAUUAUAGUGCUCUCAUGAUUUCGUGUCCAGGUCUGUAUUGCCCUGAGGAAUUAUUAUAGAUAACAUUUAUGAGCGUGUAUCUGUAUCUAUGUGCAUGUGUGGAUAAUGCAUGUAUGAAUUUAGCAGAGUUUAAAAGGAGUUGCUGUUGAAAUAGUCUUUUCUUGAGCACCUUUUAAGCCUUCAGGUCUCACCAAACAGUUAAUAUGUGGGUUUGAAAAAUGUACUAAAAAAGCAUCUUUGUAGACAUAAAUGCUUUAAAGAUUUGCUCACUGAAGGCUUUUGAAAUGGCUGGUCUGCAGAGCACUUGUUCAUGUCCUUAGGACAGCUGGCUGAUGGUGUUGUGCAGGCACAGCUUCAGACACUGAGUUUACAGAAUAGUAUCUCAAGUGGUUCUGCAGGCUAGAUGUGGAUCUUAUGUGAUCUGCAGAUGAAGGUGGUGAGCUCUGUUGGGGUACAGUCCCUGUGAUAAAAACAUUUGAGUACCUCCAUCCUAAUAUUAAAUAAGGACAAUCCCCUAGCCUCAGUGAAAGUACAGCCUUCCAAGGGUUUUUCCUUAAUAAAAAAGCAACAGAUCAAACCUAAAUAAGCCAUUAAUUUUGUGUGAUUUUUACUUGCACUUUUUCAUGUCUACUCUCAGGACUGUUUGUGUUUUGUUAUUAUUAUUCAAUAGACAUACUUCAUUUUCUUCAGAGGUGUGGCAUGAUAUCAUUGUGGUCUAAUAAAUGAAAUCAUUUUGAAUAGAUUUUCAUCAACAUAAUUUGUGCAGUUUGUUUUGUGCAAAUAAAAUUCCAAGAUGCUGAGUUCCUGCCUGUGUAGUCACAUCUGCAUGGUGUAGUAUUUUUCAGUGCUUCAACUUGAAAACUGGAGGCAUAACAUAAGGCCAGAGUUUCUGUAGGUCAGCUCUUCAAUUCUGAACUCGUCACUAGAGAAAGAACAGAGAUAGAAGAAUAGCAAGAGGUAGAAUAAAUAACUCCAGGGAACAUUAUUUUGAGAGAAAGUCAAACACUACUGUGACAGGUAGCUAGAAGAAGUAGGGUAGUCAUGUACAAGUUCCGUGUAUUGCACAUGCUUGACAAGUCAGGGUUCUUGGUAGGGAUUCUUGAGCUGAGUGAGGGUGGGUCAUUGUCCUGCUGACUCUUGGCUCUGUUCCUCCAAGUUCUCAUCAAACAGGAAAGAAUUUCCCUCCUUCUCUGACAAGCUUCCUCUUUAUAAGGGAUUAAAGAACAGAAUUUUACUGAGAAAAAAAAAGGUAUAAACAAAAGUUUUUCAGUACUUCAUCCUCAUUGACCAGAGUUGCUUAUAUAUGUUUAGCUUAUUUCACACACACACACACACACACACACACACACACACACACACACACGCAUGCACACACACACAAAAAAAAGGAUUAUUUUCAUCUUUGACAUAAGAUCAGCAUCUCUCCGUAUGAGUUCUUGGGAGAAAGGUGACAAGCUGUCAGUGAUAGUUAAAAAUUUUGUUUGUGUUCAAAAGAUACAGGAGGGAAGGAUACAAAUUGAGUAGCAAAGACUUCCAGGAAAGAGGCAGUAAAGACAUGAAACAGCAAGUAUAAAGAAAAAAAUCUUAAAUUGUCAAAGACCACACAUCUGUUUGGAGAUACAGAUUUCUGUCACAUCUCUGAUUUCAGCCAAGUCUUUCCCUUCUCAAACUAUUCUGGGAUCUACAUUUGAGAAUGUAGAGAUUAGAAGUGUUUGACAAUUCCAUUAUUUCAUUCAGAAAUGAAAAAAAAAAUGCUAUUAAAUGAAUUAUAUAAUAUCUGUGUCUUUUUUACAACCUUAAUUAGUGUAACCAUAAUAUUUUUAUAUAUUCAUCUUGUUCACUUUCUGUUCCCACUGUCCUUUCUUCCCAUUUUUUAAACUGGGGAAUCUCAUGCACCCUUGCGUAAAAUAUGUACAGAAUUUUUUUACAAAUUAUAUUAACAUAUUCCUUUUAAAUUGUUUGUGAAGUGCAGUCUUCUAGACUUCAUGUGAACAGUGUUAAUUUCAGCUGGGUGUUGGUUGUUUGAUUUUAUUCUGUCACUGGCUUGGAAAUAAUGGUUGUAGGAAGGAAGAGGGAGAAGGGAAAGAGAGAAAUUUGGGAUCCUCAACUGCAGACUAGUCAAGUAAUUCAAAUUUUCAAAUAAAUGCUGAAAUAAAAAUUCCAAAUACCUAUUAAGAACAUGGAAGAACAAAAAUACAUGAAUUGCAGUCACCAAGUCAUGUCAAACCAAUCUUAUCUCCUUCUUUCAGAGGAUAACAGGUCUUUUGGACAGACAGGAAGCAGUAAAUUCUAUCUGCCUUGUCAUUAUUAGAGAUUCUGGUAUUGUUUCGUAUGACAUUCAUACAGUAAAUGGACUAGAGAGAUACGGCCAAGUUAAUAUACAAACUAGCUGGAUGCAAGACCUCAAGUUCAAUUUUAAACAACCUUCCACUGAGAAUACUGUCUAAAAAGUAGAAUUGAUAUUGGGGCCCUAGCAAGGGUCUUUUCUGGGUUUAAUACUUACCUGUAUUUUCUUCAGUCGGUUAAGUGAUAGUGUGCUAUGGAGUUCUCAGAUGCUG
rnacentral:lncRNA from 1 species